GUUCGAAUAGAUUUCACGAGUCUCUGUUCCCAUGCCACCAAACAACAAUUGUACAUCCAGGCAUGGGGAAGGAAGGGUGGUCCAUUAUGGAUUAGAUGGGCUGUGUUCUAGAACGUUCUUGCUUUCUGUUUUGUCAUCUUCUUCGGAAGCCAUCCUCAGCUAUAGGGUUGCCCCACUUCACCCCCGCGGUCGCCAUAGCUUCACCCCAGUUUUGAGGCAGAAGCAACAGAGCCCCCCACCCCUGAACAAUAAAGACCCGGCGUUCCUCGCUGGAAACAUUUCCAAACCGGAAUCCCUUUCAAGCGUCUGUGCAAUGAUGAUUCACGUUGGCUGGCACUUUCGCAAGGCAUGGCAAACGCUCAGGCCAUCGGGCAGCAGGAUUCAAAGUCCUCCUCCUCCUCCUCCUCCUCCUUCAAGAGGCCAAGAAAACCAUCCUGGGGAAACCAAAUAGAAAGAUUGUCUGUCCCUCUCCGUGUGCUCCUGCUGCUCGGAGGCCCCGAGCGAGCGGUGGGUGUUUGAGAGAUUUCUAGGUGGGAGCUGGUGUUGAGAGGAAAGAGGUCAAGCUUUCCACCUUCCAGGGAUGGAAAUGUACGGUUCACCGGACAGGAGUUGAAUGUCAGGUUGUCAACAGGGAAAGAUGACACGCCGCUCAGCUGGGAGUGACUGGGUCGCUCCAUGAGCCCAGCCCGGCCAGUCCUUAUAGCUUCCCUCUUCAAAGGGGAAAAAACAGGGACUGGAGUCCAACAUACACAUUGGAGAUUGACGCAUCCCUAGGAAAGGAUUUCCUUUGGGCUAGCUGAGUUCUGAAGGAGGCCACAGCGUGCAUGAUGCUCCAGAGCCUGCUGGAGCAGGAGAAGGACUUCCAGACUCAGAACUUGGGAGAUAAGUGGAAGGAAGGUCAAACGGAGGACGGUGUGGAGUCCGAGCAUCAGGCGGGUUGGAGUCACACCAGCAAGAGUGAAGGAGGUUGGGCAAAACCAAGAGGAGAGGGG
rnacentral:lncRNA from 1 species